rnacentral:piRNA from 1 species
UGAGCAAGGAGGUGCCCAUGAUGUGCUGA